GGCGUCCGAGUUGUAAUUUGUAGAGGAUGCUAUUGGGUUGCCACCGGUCUAAGUUCCUUGGAACAGGACGUCACAGAGGGUGAGAAUCCCGUAUGUGACCGGCCAGGCGCCCUCCGUAUAGCUCCUUCGACGAGUCGGGUUGUUUGGGAAUGCAGCCCUAAAUGGGAGGUAAAUUUCUUCUAAAGCUAAAUACCGGCCAGAGACCGAUAGCGCACAAGUAGAGUGAUCGAAAGAUGAAAAGCACUUUGGAAAGAGAGUUAAAAAGCACGUGAAAUUGUUGAAAGGGAAGCGCUUGCAAUCAGUCUCGACGGCGGCUGUUCGGCCUCUCUUCUGAGUGGUUUAUUCAGUCGCCGCCGGGCCAGCAUCAGUUUCGGCGGUCGGACAAAGGCGCGGGGAAUGUAGCUCCCUCGGGAGUGUUAUAGCCCCGCGUGCAAUACGGCCCGCCGGGACUGAGGUCCGCGCUCCGGCUAGGAUGCUGGCGAAAUGGUUGUAAGCGGCCCGUCUUGAAACACGGACCAAGGAGUCUAACAUCUACGCGAGUGUUUGGGUGUCAAACCCGUGCGCGCAAUGAAAGUGAACGGAGGUGGGAACCGCAAGGUGCACCAUCGACCGAUCCUGAUGUCUUCGGAUGGAUUUGAGUAAGAGCGUAGCUGUUGGGACCCGAAAGAUGGUGAACUAUGCCUGAAUAGGGUGAAGCCAGAGGAAACUCUGGUGGAGGCUCGCAGCGGUUCUGACG
rnacentral:rRNA from 1 species